UUGGAAGAUUGUAUAACGAAUAAGUCGUAUAAAAUUCUAGAUAGAAAAUUGAUAAUGACUACUAUCUAUCUAUUAGUCUUGACCAAAUUACGUGCCAGCAGUCGCGGCAACACGCAGAAGACAAGUGUUAUUCAUCUUUAAUCGGUAUAAAGGGUACCUAGACAGGAAAUAAAGCCAUAGUAGGGACUAAUUUUCUAGAGUUUUAUGGGAGAAAGUCGAAUAUCUGGAGGAGAGAUAAAAUAUUGUGAUACCAGAGAGACGGGUAACGGCGUAGGCAACUUUCUAUGUAAAAACUGACGUUGAGGGACGAAGCCCUGGGUAACGAGAAGGAUUAGAUACCCCAGUAGUCCAGGGAGACAAUGAUGAGUGCCAUAGGCUAGAUAGAUUAGUUUAUAAAUGAAAGUGCAAGCAUUCCACCUCAAGACUAAAGCGGCAACGCCCAAAUUGAAACCAUUAGACCGUUUCUGAAACCAGUAGUGAAGUAUGUUAUUUAAUUCGAUGAUCCACGAAUAACCUUACCACGUUUUGAAUACAUAGGGGAAAAAAGUAUUGCAGGUGCUUUUAUCGGCGAAUACGCAAUAGUGUUCGUCCUUCCCUUUGCCUGCUUAACUGAUACAAGCGCUGCACGGCUGUCUUUAGUUAAUGUCGUGAGACUUUGGUUAACUCCUUUAAUUAACGAAAACCCUUGUUUUAUUUGUUUAUAUAAACAGUUCUCCGCUAUAUUGGAUAAGAUAAUAGGGAUUAAGGCAAGUCAUCAUGGCCUUAAUAACGUGGGCUAUAGACGUGCCACAUAUGCCUUUACAAAAGGAUGCGAUAUUGUGAAAUGGAGCUAAUCCCCAAAAAAGGA
rnacentral:rRNA from 1 species